CUUGAGAGUUUGAUCCUGGCUCAGGACGAACGCUGGCGGCAUGCCUAAUACAUGCAAGUCGAACGAGAAAGUUCCUUCGGGGACGAUUAAAGUGGCGCACGGGUGAGUAACGCGUAGACAAUCUGCCCUUCAGUCUGGGACAACUUUUCGAAAGGAGAGCUAAUACCGGAUGACAAUAUAACACAUAAGUGUCAUAUUUGAAAGCUCCGGCGCUGAAGGAGGGGUCUGCGUCCCAUUAGCUAGUUGGUAAGGUAAAGGCUUACCAAGGCAACGAUGGGUAGCGGGUUUGAGAGGACGAUCCGCCACACUGGAACUGAGACACGGUCCAGACUCCUACGGGAGGCAGCAGUAGGGAAUAUUGCACAAUGGAGGAAACUCUGAUGCAGCAAUGUCGCGUGAGUGAAGAAGGCCCUUGGGUCGUAAAGCUCUUUUAUGGGGGAAGAUGAUGACG
rnacentral:rRNA from 1 species